rfam:Danio rerio chromosome 18, GRCz11 reference primary assembly.
GCCGGCAGCUAGCUCUCUGCAAAUCUCACAUGGUCGCCUACUGAAGACAAGCAGAGCUGCGCCCGGUCAGUACCUGGAUGGGAGAUCAGAUGGGAAAGCUUGGUUGCAGCCGGAC